rnacentral:rRNA from 1 species
AGAGUUUGAUCCUGGCUCAGAUUGAACGCUGGCGGCAUGCUUUACACAUGCAAGUCGGACGGCAGCGGGGUAGUGCUUGCACUACUGCCGGCGAGUGGCGAACGGGUGAGUAAUAUAUUGGAACGUACCGAGUAAUGGGGGAUAACCAAUCGAAAGAUUGGCUAAUACCGCAUACGCUCUGAGGAGGAAAGCAGGGGACCUUCGGGCCUUGCGUUAUUCGAGCGGCCAAUAUCUGAUUAGCUAGUUGGUGGGGUAAAGGCCUACCAAGGCGACGAUCAGUAGCGGGUCUGAGAGGAUGAUCCGCCACACUGGGACUGAGACACGGCCCAGACUCCUACGGGAGGCAGCAGUGGGGAAUUUUGGACAAUGGGCGCAAGCCUGAUCCAGCCAUGCCGCGUGUCUGAAGAAGGCCUUCGGGUUGUAAAGGACUUUUGUCAGGGAAGAAAAGGAUAGGGUUAAUACCCCUGUCUGAUGACGGUACCUGAAGAAUAAGCACCGGCUAACUACGUGCCAGCAGCCGCGGUAAUACGUAGGGUGCGAGCGUUAAUCGGAAUUACUGGGCGUAAAGCGAGCGCAGACGGUUACUUAAGCAGGAUGUGAAAUCCCCGGGCUCAACCUGGGAACUGCGUUCUGAACUGGGUGACUAGAGUGUGUCAGAGGGAGGUAGAAUUCCACGUGUAGCAGUGAAAUGCGUAGAGAUGUGGAGGAAUACCGAUGGCGAAGGCAGCCUCCUGGGAUAACACUGACGUUCAUGCUCGAAAGCGUGGGUAGCAAACAGGAUUAGAUACCCUGGUAGUCCACGCCCUAAACGAUGUCGAUUAGCUGUUGGGCAGCAUGACUGCUUAGUAGCGAAGCUAACGCGUGAAAUCGACCGCCUGGGGAGUACGGUCGCAAGAUUAAAACUCAAAGGAAUUGACGGGGACCCGCACAAGCGGUGGAUGAUGUGGAUUAAUUCGAUGCAACGCGAAGAACCUUACCUGGUCUUGACAUGUACG